UACGAAGGGGGCGAGCGUUGUUCGGAAUUACUGGGCGUAAAGGGCGCGCAGGCGGUCUUCCAAGUCAGUGGUGAAAGCCCGGAGCUCAACUCCGGAACUGCCAUUGAAACUGUUGGACUUGAGUACGAGAGAGGUGAGUGGAAUUCCCAGUGUAGAGGUGAAAUUCGUAGAUAUUGGGAAGAACACCGGUGGCGAAGGCGGCUCACUGGCUCGUAACUGACGCUCAGGCGCGACAGCGUGGGGAUCAAACAGG
rnacentral:rRNA from 1 species